ACUGUCGUAAAUGUUACAUAUAUAAACAGAUCAGAGGAACCGUCGUUUCAUUUAGCAGAGGCUGAACAUAAGUGCCUGACCUAAAGAUCUGUGAAGAUGAGGCGGCUGCUUCUUUUAAUGCUUGUGGUCUCCUUGUGGCAUGUCUUUGAUACACCUCCCAUAGAGCGCAGAGCGCCCAUAGAUACAGGGCCUCCUGUUAGUAACUUUGCAGAGCAUCCUGAUGUGGACACCCCACAGCUGCUGGUGCCACAAAUACCCGAAUGACAAGUCCGGAGUGUUUACAUCAACGAGUACAGCAGAUAAGCAAAUGGACUCACAUCGCCACAUCAUCCAUGUCAUCGUGCAUCGCUGGCCGCUGGCGAUGGGUCUCAUUAUGUUUACAGAGCUGUCUGCUGAAUAAACUUUGAA